rnacentral:rRNA from 1 species
UACGUAGGGAGCAAGCGUUGUCCGGAAUCAUUGGGCGUAAAGCGCGCGUAGGCGGCCCGGUAAGUCCGCUGUAAAAGUCCAGGGCUCAACCCUGGAAAGCCGGUGGAUACUGUCGGGCUAGAGUCCGGAAGAGGCGAGUGGAAUUCCUGGUGUAGCGGUGGAAUGCGCAGAUAUCAGGAGGAACACCGAUGGCGAAGGCAGCUCGCUGGGACGGUACUGACGCUAAGGCGCGAAAGCGUGGGGAGCGAACAGG